CUACAAUGUAGAUUCCGGAGUACAUUCUUAAGUUUAUUCACUAAAUCAGUAACUGAAAAAAUUAAAAGGGGAUUCCAAAUAUAUGGCUAAAAUAGUUGAUCUGUAUACAUAGCUCCAUUGUCAAUUUCCAAACUGGCUUUUUUGACCAAAAAUAUACAAUGUUGUCACUUUUCUACAAUUCAGGAAUUUGUUAAGCAUGAUGCUCGGUUCAAAAUAUUGCAGAGUCCCUUUGUACUCAGAAAGAGCCUGCAUGCUAUUUGAAAU